UACAGAGGUGGCAAGCGUUGUUCGGAAUUACUGGGCGUAAAGGGCGCGUAGGCGGCCUUCUAAGUCAGACGUGAAAUCCCCCGGCUUAACCUGGGAACUGCGUCUGAUACUGGGAGGCUUGAGUAUGGGAGAGGGAUGUAGAAUUCCAGGUGUAGCGGUGAAAUGCGUAGAUAUCUGGAGGAACACCGGUGGCGAAGGCGGCCUUCUGGACGGAUACUGACGCUGAGACGCGAAAGCGUGGGGAGCAAACAGG
rnacentral:rRNA from 1 species